CAUGCAGUCGAGCGGUAACAGAUCCAGCUUGCUGGAUGCUGACGAGCGGCGGACGGGUGAGUAAUGCAUAGGAAUCUGCCCGAUAGUGGGGGAUAACCUGGGGAAACCCAGGCUAAUACCGCAUACGUCCUACGGGAGAAAGGGGGCUCCGGCUCCCGCUAUGGGAUGAGCCUAUGUCGGAUUAGCUAGUUGGUGAGGUAACGGCUCACCAAGGCCACGAUCCGUAGCUGGUCUGAGAGGAUGAUCAGCCACAUCGGGACUGAGACACGGCCCGAACUCCUACGGGAGGCAGCAGUGGGGAAUAUUGGACAAUGGGGGAAACCCUGAUCCAGCCAUGCCGCGUGUGUGAAGAAGGCCCUCGGGUUGUAAAGCACUUUCAGCGAGGAAGAACGCCUAGCGGUUAAUACCCGCUAGGAAAGACAUCACUCGCAGAAGAAGCACCGGCUAACUCCGUGCCAGCAGCCGCGGUAAUACGGAGGGUGCAAGCGUUAAUCGGAAUUACUGGGCGUAAAGCGCGCGUAGGUGGCUUGAUAAGCCGGUUGUGAAAGCCCCGGGCUCAACCUGGGAACGGCAUCCGGAACUGUCAAGCUAGAGUGCAGGAGAGGAAGGUAGAAUUCCCGGUGUAGCGGUGAAAUGCGUAGAGAUCGGGAGGAAUACCAGUGGCGAAGGCGGCCUUCUGGACUGACACUGACACUGAGGUGCGAAAGCGUGGGUAGCAAACAGGAUUAGAUACCCUGGUAGUCCACGCCGUAAACGAUGUCGACCAGCCCGUUGGGUGCCUAGCGCACUUUGUUGGCGAAGUUAACGCGAUAAGUCGACCGCCUGGGGGAGUACGGCCGCAAGGUUAAAACUCAAAUGAAAUUGACGGGGGGCCCGCACAAGCGGUGGAACCAUGGUGGUUUAAUUUCGAUGCAACGCCGAAGAACCUUACCUACUCUUGACAUCCUG
rnacentral:rRNA from 1 species